UAUGAUCAAUACACAGGUGCUGCUGUGUCAUUUCUUAACCAUACAUCAUUAAACAGUAUGAUCAAUACACAGGUGCUGCUGUGUCAUUUCUUAACCAUACAUCAUUAAACAGCAUUUAUCAAUACACAGGUGCUGCUGUGUCAUUUCUUAACCAUACAUCAUUAAACAGUUACACCUGUGUACAUACAUCGCUUCCAACGCCGUUUUAGGGGGUUUGGCAGUACAUCCAACCGGACUCACAACUGCAGACCACGUGUGUGGCGUAGAGUGGGAAAGUGGUUUGCUGAUGUCAACGUAGCGAACAGUGUCCCACGGUCGCGGUGGUAUUAUGCAUGCUAAUGCACGGCUCCAUGUCGUAAGGAUCUAGACACAAUUCCUGGAGGGUGACAAUGUCGCAGUUCUUCCAUGGCCUGCAUACUUCCCAGGCAGGUCACCCGUGGUGUAUGGCAUGUAAAUAUCGGUUCCCUAAGGACCACGCUGUCAUCAACUGUUUUAAUGUAUUUUAAUGUGUUUUAUGGACUCUUGAAAGAUGAGUCCCAUUGAGGACUAAAAUAUCCUAAUAAAAUGUUUUGUGAAGGCUAA